GACGAACGCUGACGGCGUGCUUAACACAUGCAAGUCGAAGGGAGUGGCGAACGGGUGAGUAACACGUGAGUAACUUGCCCUUUUCUUUGGGAUAAGCCUGGGAAACUGGGUCUAAUACUGGAUGGAUUGGGAUGGGCUUGGAGCUUGUCAGCGUGUGGGUGGGGUGAUGGCUUACCAAGGCUUUGACGGGUAUCCGGCCUGAGAGGGAGGUCGGUAAGUGUGGGACUGGGAUACGGCCCAUGUGACUACGGGGGGCAGCAGUGGGGGAUAUGGGACAAUGGACGAAAGUCUGAUGCAGCGACGUCGGGGGGGGGAGGAGGGCCUUAGGGUUGUAAAAUCCUUUCGCCCGCGGAAUGUUAGUGGGUAAAGAAGCGCCGGCUAACUACGUGCCAGCAGCCGCGAUAAUAC
rnacentral:rRNA from 1 species